GCUCUGAUGGUGUAGCCAGGCCAAGCAUACCGGCCUUUCAAGCCGGCGACUCGGGUCCAAAUCCCGGUCAGAGCA
rfam:Thermoplasmatales archaeon Gpl AMDT5_GPLC00006, whole genome shotgun sequence.